rnacentral:rRNA from 1 species
AUUGAACGCUGGCGGCAGGCCUAACACAUGCAAGUCGAGCGGGGUUUUCGGACUUAGCGGCGGACGGGUGAGUAAUGCGUAGGAAGCUGCCCGAUAGAGGGGGAUACCAGUUGGAAACGACUGUUAAUACCGCAUAAUGUCUACGGACCAAAGUGUGGGACCUUCGGGCCACAUGCUAUCGGAUGCGCCUACGUGGGAUU